GUAGUGUACAACCUGAGUGUUCAGACAUGACAGGUUUAUACUGUACUUCCCAGAGCAUGUUCUGGCAGGUUUGAUGGGAGUUGAUCAACGUGUCUGGUUUCAGCCUAACUUGAGACAUCUAAGCCUCCCAAUUUUGUGGAAGCCUCUGAAAAGAAGGGAGAGACAUUCAUUCCAAGGGAAUAGAAAAGGGAACCGGUGGGACAUUAUCUUAUUUUAAGGAAUCAAAGCUCGGGGACCUGUCGGGAGGCGGCUGCUAGAGAAGUGGAGGCAUAUCUGAGUGACUGAGAGGAGCCAGUGUGAAGACGACCCAAAUCCCCGAGCCAUGUCUAUGGAUCAGCAGCAUCAGGAAUUUCUUAGACAGAGCAUCUUGGUCCUGCACAGAGCUGCUGGACUUGGAUUUCAUGGUCCAGGACCCAGGCCAUGGAGUGGUACUUCCAACAGUUAAAGUGAGUCUUCCCUCCUCAGUCUGGAAGGUCCCUAACACACUUGCCCAGAGAUGUGUCUCCUAG